UGGUGGCACUGUGCAGCUUACGCUAGGUUCGGAUGGUUCUCCGCAACUCCUCUUCCUAGUCGUUCUGUCCGUCACGGAAGCAGCAAGAUUACACUCGAGCGAAACUAGUUAGCGGCUGGAGUUUUAAUGUUGCUAAACCCUGUGUCAACCUUAUCACUGGGACGACAGCGACAACACUCUUCUGCAUCGGUACUCUCAGUGCCACACUGCAGCCAGUGCUGACCUGGAAACCAGUAGACCUUCUCCCAACAGAUGCCUUGGGAUCCCAGCGGAAACCACCACGAUGUGGUGCCCGACGCCAUUCCCAUACCUCACAGCAGGCGCCACGAAGUUAUUGCAGCAUUGCGCAAUUCUGGGACAUCCGGUGAUCGUCAACAGGACAGCUCUGAAAGAAACCUGCACAAACCUGCGCCUGCAACCAGGGAUGCUGGUACCAUGACAGACCCACAACAAAGGCGUUCAUGCCACAACAAACCCGCAUCUCCACACUUGGAUUCCCACCACUCGGAACACCAAGGGAGAAAAGCGACGCUUGCACAUAACACGGAAAAGUCUGCACGCAAAUAAGAAAUGCAGUUGUUUUUAAUUUAAGAAUAAUGUUGUGGCUCGGUGCAAGAAACAAGUGAUGGAAAGGGAAGCCCCACAUUAUAAACAGCGCAUCCAUAUGACUACGAAGGAAUGUUAGUGUUUUCACACAGUGCGAAGUAAGGACAACCCCGGUAGAAGUGGCCAAUGUCCAAGCCGACCAGCCACUUUGCAAGUCCAUAGUGUCGCAAACAAAAGGCACAAAGGCAGCCACACCAAGCGUUUGCUGCGCUUCACUUCAGCAGGCAGCGGUGGCCAGUGUGGCUGGUAUUCGAUGCAUCCUUCCACCUGCAUUUUAGAAAAACGACGACAAUGUGACAUCUGCUUCACCAUCCUGCAGCCACCUAGCAGCAAAGACAAGGAGGUGGACGACUGCACAAACGCUACCUCAAAUUCUAGUAGAUGACAUAGUCAAAACUUGGAUGAAUUGACAUGGCUGCACAAAUGUGACAAGAGCGGGAUGAUCGCAUGCUAACUCAAGGAAAGGACUCCCAACACUUGCAAAGCAUUACACGGUACUCCAACUCUUUCGACAUAAAGUGUGUUGACAGAGUAUGCAUCAAUUUAGCGAAUGCAUGCUUCCAAGGACCGAUAAUGUACAAUUCCCGAUGUUUUAUACGCAUGUUGAAUGAGAGAUUUAUUUUAACGUUUCUCAAGGCGUUCUAGCAACUUUGCCAGUGCCUUAUGGCUGUGAGGCCUUUAUUACCAUCCUCGCUCUGCAUUCAUAGUACUGUAUACAAAUUAACUUGCAGCUGACAAAUUGCAUAUGCAUAAUCGAAGGGCUAGAAACCUGUACAAAAUUAACAGUGCAGUGCUAAUCAAAAUCCUUAACGAGUUAGGUAGGAAACAAAUAAGAUACUUCUAAGGCAUGUGGUCACAAGAAAUAAAUUUUUUUGUUGAUACUUUACUGA
rnacentral:lncRNA from 1 species